GAUGAACGCUGGCGGCGUGCCUAAUACAUGCAAGUCGAGCGAAUGGAUUAAGAGCUUGCUCUUAUGAAGUUAGCGGCGGACGGGUGAGUAACACGUGGGUAACCUGCCCAUAAGACUGGGAUAACUCCGGGAAACCGGGGCUAAUACCGGAUAAUAUUUUGAACUGCAUGGUUCAAAAUUGAAAGGCGGCUUCGGCUGUCACUUAUGGAUGGACCCGCGUCGCAUUAGCUAGUUGGUGAGGUAACGGCUCACCAAGGCAACGAUGGGUAACCGAACUGGGAGGGUGAUCGGCCACACUGGGACUGAGACACGGCCCAGACUCCCACGGGAGGCAGGAGUAGGGAAUCUUCCGAAAUGGACGAGAGUCUGACGGAGCAACGCCGCGUGAGUGAUGAAGGCUUUCGGGUCGUAAAACUCUGUUGUUAGGGAAGAACAAGUGCUAGUUGAAUAAGCUGGCACCUUGACGGUACCUAACCAGAAAGCCACGGCUAACUACGUGCCAGCAGCCGCCGUAA
rnacentral:rRNA from 1 species